rnacentral:rRNA from 1 species
GUGAGGAAUAUUGCACAAUGGGGGAAACCCUGAUGCAGCGACGCCGCGUGGGUGAUGAAGGUUUUCGGAUCGUAAAGCCCUUUUCUGCAUGACGAGCAAGGACGGUAGUGCAGGAAUAAGUGUCGGCUAACUACGUGCCAGCAGCCGCGGUAAAACGUAGGACACAAGCGUUAUCCGGAAUUACUGGGCGUAAAGGGAGUGCAGGCGGUUGCGUAAGUUAGGCGUGAAAGACUUCGGCUAAACCGGGGGAGGUCGUCUGAUACUGCGUAACUAGAGUAUGGUAGAGGCGUGUAGAAUUCCGGGUGUAGUGGUGAAAUGCGUAGAGAUCCGGAGGAAUACCAGUGGCGAAGGCGGCACGCUGGGCCAUAACUGACGCUAAGACUCGAAAGCAUGGGUAGCGAACGGGAUUAGAUACCCUGGUAGUCC